GAUGAAGAACGUAGCGAACGUGCGAAACGUAAUGUGAAUUGCAGAAUUCAGUGAAACAUCGAAUCUUUGAACGCAUCUUGCGCUCCUUGGUAUUCCGAGGAGCAUGCCUGUUUGAGUGUCGUGAAUACUCUCAACUUCAACCCUUUUUUCGGAAAGGGAGGAAGGUUGGACUUGGGUGUUUGUUGAAGUGCGAGCUUCGACUCAUCCUAAAUGCAUUAGCGAUCUGCCUCGAUCACACACAAUGUGAUAAUUAAAACUAAAGCAUUGUUUAAUGAUCAAGUCGAGACUGCUUCUAACUGUCGCAAGACAAUAACGUGCAUACAUUUGUGCAUGUCAUUUGACCUCAAAUCAGGUAGGACUACCCGCUGAACUUAAGCAUAUCAAUAAGCGGAGGA
rnacentral:misc_RNA from 1 species